rnacentral:rRNA from 1 species
UACGUAGGGGGCGAGCGUUGUCCGGAAUCACUGGGCGUAAAGCGUGCGUAGGCGGUUUGUUAAGUCCGAAGUGAAAGUCCAGGGCUCAACCUUGGGAUUGCUUUGGAAACUGGCAGACUUGAGUGCUGGAGAGGCAAGGGGAAUUCCACGUGUAGCGGUGAAAUGCGUAGAUAUGUGGAGGAAUACCAGUGGCGAAGGCGCCUUGCUGGACAGUGACUGACGCUGAGGCACGAAAGCGUGGGGAGCAAACAGG